rnacentral:rRNA from 1 species
AAACUGCUUUUGUACCGGAAUAAACCCCUUUACGUGUAAAGGGCUGAAUGUACGGUAAGAAUAAGGAUCGGCUAACUCCGUGCCAGCAGCCGCGGUAAUACGGAGGAUCCAAGCGUUAUCCGGAUUUAUUGGGUUUAAAGGGUGCGCAGGCGGCCUGUUAAGUCAGGGGUGAAAGACGGUGGCUCAACCAUCGCAGUGCCUUUGAUACUGACGGGCUUGAUUACACAUGAGGCAGGCGGAAUGUGACAAGUAGCGGUGAAAUGCAUAGAUAUGUCACAGAACCCCGAUUGCGAAGGCAGCUUACUAAAGUGUAAAUGACGCUGAGGCACGAAAGCGUGGGGAUCAAACAGGAUUAGAUACCCUGGUAGUCCACGCCCUAAACGAUGAAUACUCGAUGUUGGCGAUAUACAGUCAGCGUCCAAGCGAAAGCGUUAAGUAUUCCACCUGGGGAGUACGUCCGCAAGGAUGAAACUCAAAGGAAUUGACGGGGGCCCGCACAAGCGGAGGAGCAUGUGGUUUAAUUCGAUGAUACGCGAGGAACCUUACCCGGGCUUGAAAGUUAGUGAAUAAUCCAGAGAUGGAUUAGCCCUUCGGGGCACGAAACUAGGUGCUGCAUGGCU